AGGAUGAACGCUGGCGGUCUGCUUAACACAUGCAAGUCGAACGGGCGUAGCAAUACGUUAGUGGCGGACGGGUGAGUAACGCGUGAGAAUCUACCUUCAGGACGGAGACAACAGUUGGAAACGACUGCUAACCCCCGAUGUACUGAAAAGGCAAAUAUUUAUAGCCUGAAGAAGAGCUCGCGUCCGAUUAGCUAGUUGGAGAGGUAAAAGCUCACCAAGGCGACGAUCGGUAGCUGGUCUGAGAGGACGAUCAGCCACACUGGGACUGAGACACGGCCCAGACUCCUACGGGAGGCAGCAGUGGGAAUUUUCCGCAAUGGGCGAAAGCCUGACGGAGCAAGACCGCGUGGGGGAAGAAGGCUCUUGGGUUGUAAACCCCUUUUCUCUGGGAAGAAGUUGUGAAAGCAGCCUGACGGUACCAGAGGAAUCAGCAUCGGCUAACUCCGUGCCAGCAGCCGCGGU
rnacentral:rRNA from 1 species